GCCGGGCCGGGGGCGGGAACCGGCUCGGAUGCUCAGGGACGGUGGGGGUGGCAGGGCCCGCCGCCCUGAGGCUGCCUUUCCGCGCAUUCCCUCGUUUAUUGGCUCACUCUUCCUUUCAUCCAUCCUCCUUUGCGCAGCAAUAUUUGAUGGGAAGCCUGCCAAGAGGCAGGGAGAAAGACACGUGGGCAAGAGAAUACCAUGUGGAGACACAGAUACACGAGGGGAGGAUGCCUGCUGACCAUGGAGGCAGAAAUAGGACUGACGCAUUGAUCAGCCGAGGGAUGCCAAGCACUGCCAGCAAACACCAGACGCUUGAUGGGGCCGAGGAUUCUCCUGUGCAGGUUUCAGAGGGAGCUGGGCCUUGCAGACACCUUGAUUCCUGACUUCUGGCCUCUAAAAUGUGUGACUCUACAAUGUGUGAUUGCUCCUGGUGAAUCAAAAGGAUAAAGCUGCUGAUUCUGCAAUUUGAUAACCCAACCAUGCUGACCUCAAAAUGUAGUCAAUCCAUGAAGUUCCUCCCACCACAGCUCAUCCUGAACACUGCCCACCUGAGUCAUCAAGAAGGUUUAAGUACAUUAUCUGUGCUCUGUUUAAUAUGUCGGUGAAGUGUGUCCUAAAUUUAGUCAUUUCUAGGACCUCUUUCUAGUUCCCAAGUAAGCCAGGUUCUACUGCUGUCAAGUGUUAUUCAUGGCUAGCUGAGGAAAAGGGGUUCAAAAACACUGAGAAGAAGAAAAGGAGGGAGAAGGCUGGGUUAAUGGGGACAGGGGUAAGGGGUGAGACCCCGGCUAAACAGUGAAGAUAAAAACAGACAUGUAAAUGAGAGAACCGGAAGAGAAGGUAAUGGUGAAAUUCAAUACAGAAAGGAAAGGGGUUGUAGGGGACAAACACUGAGAGGGCAAGAACUUGGAAAAGGUAAAACUAAGGUGAACGAGGAGGCUGAAGAGAGGUCAGCUGCAGCGGAAAGAGGGAAGGGCCCUUUAAGAGACACAUCAAGCCGCAGGUGUGGGCCACGAGGCUGGCGGCUGGCGCAGGGCUGUCGCUUCACGCACCGCAGACUCAUCCUGGAGCGGCUUGGGAGCUGCGGAGCCCUAGAGCCUCCAUCCGGGCAGCAAACGAGCUCACGUGUCCCACCCAGGAAGGGCAGGGAGUGGGCGAGGAAUGGUGGAGGGAAAGGAGGGAAAGCGGAGAAACAGGAAGGAGGGGGAAAGCUGCGGCUGCAGAAAAGAAACGAGUAAGCCCCUUUGUUCUUGGCCUGCGAGGUGUUUCCUUCCCGAGCAGACUCGAAGCUGUCACCUCUCAGUCUAGGUUUGGAAUAAAUACACUCGCCCACCGAGAGAUGAGGCGGCGCCUGGCCGCACCUGGGAGGUGCCUGGUCGCACCUGGCAGGUACCUGGCCGCUCCUUUCCUGGAGCCACGGGCACGGGCCCCUCCUGGACUUUCUACUGCUCUGCAGGAGGAUCCGAUGACUGUGACCGACUGGGAGACAGACCCAGGAGUGCCCGGCGGGGUGGAGGGUCUGGAGACUGCAAUUGGGGUACUCAAGAGAGGGCUGCCGGCCUGAGGAGCAGCGAUGUCCACGGAAUCGGCCAUAAAGGAUCAAAGGGGCUAGGCAGACCCCUCAUUCUGGUUUUCUCCUCCGAACAUUGGUCUCUGCGAUUUUCUUGGGAACAUUUUCCAGCCGGCUGGCUAGUAGCAGACAGAUCAUGAGCAGAACAGGUCGCGCCACUGGAGAGAACUCACGUGCUGGCUGGGGAGGGCACCUGAGGCCCAGCGGGGAUCGGGGACGGGGCGGGGGCCGGGGAGGGGGGGUCCUGGAGGUUACUCCCUCCUUAGGGAAGCUUCCCAAAGCUGGGGACGCUGUGGCCUUGUACCUCACUGAAUGGUGUCAUAUUCCACUCCAUCACUGCAGCCUGGAUUCUCCUCUCCUCCCGUCCCCCCUCCC